UGGAGGCCCAUUUGAGUUGGUUUGUUGGGAGCAGCAGGUCUAUCGUGAGGUCUGGGUCUGUAGUGAAAGACUCUUCUCCUUAGCCUGGUGAUGUAAUGAAUGUUUUGUGGGAACUGAGACACCUUGUUGACCUGGUUUCCCUGAGAAAAUUUCUUCCACCCAGAAAUCCAACUUCAUGUAGUCUUAUGAAGAUCUCUGAAGAGUGACUAGAAGAAAUACAGACUAUUUCAGACCUCAUCUCGAUGUCCUCUACAGUUUGGGAUGGAUCAGACUUCUGCUUACCACUUCAUAAAAGAGUACCCUCACCACCAGGUAAUAAAGUAAGUGCAGAGAAGGAAGGAAAAGGAGCAAAGGGAGGAAUAUAUUCAAACCAUCUUAUUAACAUUCAUCACCAAGGGCCAAAGGCAAACAAUAAAGCAAGAAGGGCAAGUUUCUGAAGUUCAGUGCUCAUGCUGGAGCAUGGAAGCUCUCAUUGAACCAAGACAAAAGAGGCCACACUUUAAUUAUUUGAAGGUUGUCAUUUUUUAUUUGGAAUUUGUUUUUACUGAAAUUUUGGGUAGCUGGUUAUCUACAUCUAAUAUCUUCAUUUUUUCUAUGCUAUUUUCCUUCCAAUCAUGUGAAACAAGAAAUUCUCUUCAUCUUUCUGUAUUCUUGACUAGAGAAGUUGAGAACAACAUUUUCUGUUCUGUAUGAAGAAGAUUUCCAUUCUUUCUGACUCCCAGCUUUUUAUCUUAAACUGCAUGGCUUCAGUGGAGUUGUGCCAAAUUUCAGCAUCUCAAAAUCUGGUUCAGCAUUUCAGGUUGCAAUUAGGAACGUGAAGUGACAGCAGGUUUACAGAGAGCUCGUCUGGCUUUGCCAGGCCUUGCAUUGCAGAUGCAGGUGUUUCAGAUUCUUUGUUUACAUUAUAAUGACUUUAUUUUGGCUGGGUUUUUAUCUUAUCCAUUGUAACCUCCCAUCUUUGCAACGUACCUGUGCUGGUAUGAGGAAAGUGAAUUACACAGCUCCAUGUAGAAACAUGAAACCACAUUUUUACAUUUCCAAAUAUAGAUAUCAGUAGUGCUUAUAUAUGUCAGUAGAGGAAUGCCAACACCACCAGGCAAUGUGAUCUCUCAUCAUCAACCAGCGACCUUGAUGAGAGGAUUUUCUAGCAGUCAACAGUCCCUUGCGGUCAUCUUUGAAGUACUCCGGUGUGAUCAGUGCCAAUCAACGUGUAUCUGUGGAAAGCAGAUCUCACCAAAUGGACUCCAAAUAAGUUAUUGGAAAGAUUCAACGUUGGUUGAUAGGAUGCUGUCAGGCUUCUGCAAGGCUUUGGAUAUUGCGCCGCACAAAGAAACCAGAACAAUGCUAAAUCAACAUAGGCUAUUUGUAAACCAUAUGGAUUAUUUGCUAAACAGCAACACAAUAGGGAGUUAUCAUACCGGUGUGGUUUUGCAAUUUGCAGAUUAAUAGUGGUUUUUUUUUUUUUGACUGUACUCUUUUUGUUAUUAAGUGUACGUUUUUAACCUGUAACAUGUAAUGUAAUAAACACAAAGCCCUCAGCAGCAGCAGCUGUAGCUGACAAAAAAAUAGGUUAAGUGUCAAAUAACAAAGAUGUCAUUGAUACUUGCUUUUUAGAAAUAAUAAUAAAAAUAAAUCAUAUGCAUGUGUUAAAACAGUAAA